GGCUCGGUAGCUUAGUUGGUAAAGCGCUCGUCUAGCAUACAAGGGUUCAAAUCCCAGCCG
rnacentral:tRNA from 1 species